CAGUCGCCACGGGAAUACAAAGGGGGCUAGCGUUGCUCGGAAUUACUGGGCGUAAAGGGAGCGUAGGCGGACAUUUAAGUCAGGGGCGAAAUCCCAGAGCUCAACUCUGGAACUGCCUUUGAUACUGGGUGUCUUGAGUGUGAUAGAGGUAUGUGGAACUCCGAGUGUAGAGGUGAAAUUCGUAGAUAUUCGGAAGAACACCAGUGGCGAAGGCGACAUACUGGAUCAUUACUGACGCUGAGGCUCGAAAGCGUGGGGAGCAAACAGGAUUAGAUACCCCCGUAGUCCCUGUCUCUUAUAC
rnacentral:rRNA from 1 species